CGCUGGCGGCGCGCCUAACACAUGCAAGUCGAACGAGAGAAAAGGAGCUUGCUUCUUCGAUCGAGUGGCGAACGGGUGAGUAACGCGUGAGGAACCUGCCUCAAAGAGGGGGACAACAGUUGGAAACGACUGCUAAUACCGCAUAAGCCCACAGGUCGGCAUCGACCAGAGGGAAAAGGAGCAAUCCGCUUUGAGAUGGCCUCGCGUCCGAUUAGCUGGUUGGUGAGGUAACGGCCCACCAAGGCGACNAUCGGUAGCCGGACUGAGAGGUUGAACGGCCACAUUGGGACUGAGACACGGCCCAGACUCCUACGGGAGGCAGCAGUGGGGAAUAUUGCACAAUGGGGGAAACCCUGAUGCAGCGACGCCGCGUGGAGGAAGAAGGUCUUCGGAUUGUAAACUCCUGUUGUUGAGGAAGAUAAUGACGGUACUCAACAAGGAAGUGACGGCUAACUACGUGCCAGCAGCCGCGGUAAAACGUAGGUCACAAGCGUUGUCCGGAAUUACUGGGUGUAAAGGGAGCGCAGGCGGGAAGACAAGUUGGAAGUGAAAUCCAUGGGCUCAACCCAUGAACUGCUUUCAAAACUGUUUUUCUUGAGUAGUGCAGAGGUAGGCGGAAUUCCCGGUGUAGCGGUGGAAUGCGUAGAUAUCGGGAGGAACACCAGUGGCGAAGGCGGCCUACUGGGCACCAACUGACGCUGAGGCUCGAAAGUGUGGGUAGCAAACAGGAUUAGAUACCCUGGUAGUCCACACCGUAAACGAUGAUUACUAGGUGUUGGAGGAUUGACCCCUUCAGUGCCGCAGUUAACACAAUAAGUAAUCCACCUGGGGAGUACGACCGCAAGGUUGAAACUCAAAGGAAUUGACGGGGGCCCGCACAAGCAGUGGAGUAUGUGGUUUAAUUCGACGCAACGCGAAGAACCUUACCAAGUCUUGACAUCCUGCGACGGACAUAGAAAUGUGUUUUUCCUUCGGGACGCAGAGACAGGUGGUGCAUGGUUGUCGUCAGCUCGUGUCGUGAGAUGUUGGGUUAAGUCCCGCAACGAGCGCAACCCUUAUGGUCAGUUACUACGCAAGAGGACUCUGGCCAGACUGCCGUUGACAAAACGGAGGAAGGUGGGGAUGACGUCAAAUCAUCAUGCCC
rnacentral:rRNA from 1 species